GCUAAUACCGGAUAAUAUUUUGAACCGCAUGGUUCAAAAGUAAAAGACGGUCUUGCUGUCACUUAUAGAUGGAUCCGCGCUGCAUUAGCUAGUUGGUAAGGUAACGGCUUACCAAGGCAACGAUGCAUAGCCGACCUGAGAGGGUGAUCGGCCACACUGGAACUGAGACACGGUCCAGACUCCUACGGGAGGCAGCAGUAGGGAAUCUUCCGCAAUGGGCGAAAGCCUGACGGAGCAACGCCGCGUGAGUGAUGAAGGUCUUCGGAUCGUAAAACUCUGUUAUUAGGGAAGAACAUAUGUGUAAGUAACUGUGCACAUCUUGACGGUACCUAAUCAGAAAGCCACGGCUAACUACGUGCCAGCAGCCGCGGUAAUACGUAGGUGGCAAGCGUUAUCCGGAAUUAUUGGGCGUAAAGCGCGCGUAGGCGGUUUUUUAAGUCUGAUGUGAAAGCCCACGGCUCAACCGUGGAGGGUCAUUGGAAACUGGAAAACUUGAGUGCAGAAGAGGAAAGUGGAAUUCCAUGUGUAGCGGUGAAAUGCGCAGAGAUAUGGAGGAACACCAGUGGCGAAGGCGACUUUCUGGUCUGUAACUGACGCUGAUGUGCGAAAGCGUGGGGAUCAAACAGGAUUAGAUACCCUGGUAGUCCACGCCGUAAACGAUGAGUGCUAAGUGUUAGGGGGUUUCCGCCCCUUAGUGCUGCAGCUAACGCAUUAAGCACUCCGCCUGGGGAGUACGACCGCAAGGUGAAACUCAAAGGAAUUGACGGG
rnacentral:rRNA from 1 species